rnacentral:lncRNA from 1 species
AUGGUUGGGACUUGCUGCGGCAGCUGCGGUUCUGCUGUGUCAUGCAAGAAGGAGGCGGCGGCGGCGGCGGCCGGAGCUGGAGGGGGAGGAGGGGAGGAACCUGAUCUCUCCGGUAGCGAAGGGCUGGAGGCAAACACCGAGUUCCCCCAGAGCCGCCCGGGAGCAGGGAGGGCUCCGCCACCCCGGGGGGCCCUCCCCGCGGGGCAGAUGAAUUCAGAAUCCAGACUGUCAGCUAUAUUUUGGGGUCCCCCAAGCAUUCCAUCUUCUCGACUCUCCAUAAACUUUUGGAUUCAUAACCCACUCCAUACUUGAGAAAAUGGGGAUUGGAAUAAGCUAGGGGUGAUUCGCUUCUGGCUAAUGAGACCAAAGUGAAAGCCUUCUGGGAAUAGAUAUGGCUAUUUGAACACCAUCACAAUGCCUGGAGUCACAGCAGACUUCUAGUGAGUACAAGACAAAAGACUUGAUGUUAAGGAUGGUGAAUUAGGAAAAAAUACUGGGUCCUUGAUGGUAGAAUUGAGCAGUUGAGUUUGAGAUGUCUGUUAGAUAUCUAUAUGAAUGUAACUGUGCAAUUCCUUGCCUUAUACAAGGAAUAAAGUUUUCUAGACAUUUUUAUCUUUUCA